ACUUCACAAUGAUAUUGAGUCCUAAAUAUUAAUUUAAUAAUUCUCUUGCAGAUCACAAAGACUGAAGCUUAGUUACAUUUGUUCUGAAAUAAUGGAUAAGGAUAAGAAGACACUUAUUUAUAUUUUGUAUGAUGGAAUGUGGAUUAUUGAUGAGAAUAGCAAAUCAAGAAGAUAUGUUGAUCACCAAGUUAAGAUAAUCAUGCAAGAAGAUAGAUUUAUGGGAUACCCAUCAUACGAUGGGCCAUACGAUUGGUUGAUUGAUAAAAUAUGUAAAGAGCUUAGAUUGGAUUCCAAAACUAUGAAAAAUUCAAUCAAAAUUUCAUUUGAUCCAAAAUUUGGUUCAAACAACAAAGGUAUGAAAAUAGAAAAUCAUGACAAUGUAUCUGUGUUUCUUUACUUGAUCAAGAAUGAUCCUGAAUUUAAAAAGUGUCCUAUUGUGGUAGAGUUUGAGACUAAUUAAUUAAUUAAUUAUGAUUAAUUAUAUACAAUAUUUGUAAUUUUCUUUUAUCUUGUAUGAUCAAGUCAAAUAGUCAAUGAGUUGUGAGGAGUUUUCAAUUGUGUGUUGUUUCCUUCUUUCUUAUGUAAAGAAAAAAAAAAUAAAUAAAUAAAGGAAAUUUAAAC